rnacentral:rRNA from 1 species
UACAGAGGUCUCAAGCGUUGUUCGGAUUCAUUGGGCGUAAAGGGUGCGUAGGUGGCGUCGUAAGUCAGGUGUGAAAUCUCGGAGCUUAACUCCGAAACUGCAUUCGAUACUGCCGUGCUUGAGGACUGGAGAGGAGACUGGAAUUCCACGUGUAGCAGUGAAAAUGCGUAGAGAUGUGGAGGAACACCGAUGGCGAAGGCAGCCUUCUGGGCCAACACUGACGCUCAUGCACGAAAGCGUGGGGAGCAAACAGG